AUUGAACGCUGGCGGCAGGCCUAACACAUGCAAGUCGAACGGUAACAGAAAGCAGCUUGCUGCUUUGCUGACGAGUGGCGGACGGGUGAGUAAUGUCUGGGAAACUGCCUGAUGGAGGGGGAUAACUACUGGAAACGGUAGCUAAUACCGCAUAACGUCGCAAGACCAAAGAGGGGGACCUUAGGGCCUCUUGCCAUCGGAUGUGCCCAGAUGGGAUUAGCUAGUAGGUGGGGUAAAGGCUCACCUAGGCGACGAUCCCUAGCUGGUCUGAGAGGAUGACCAGCCACACUGGAACUGAGACACGGUCCAGACUCCUACGGGAGGCAGCAGUGGGGAAUAUUGCACAAUGGGCGCAAGCCUGAUGCAGCCAUGCCGCGUGUAUGAAGAAGGCCUUCGGGUUGUAAAGUACUUUCAGCGGGGAGGAAGGGAGUAAAGUUAAUACCUUUGCUCAUUGACGUUACCCGCAGAAGAAGCACCGGCUAACUCCGUGCCAGCAGCCGCGGUAAUACGGAGGGUGCAAGCGUUAAUCGGAAUUACUGGGCGUAAAGCGCACGCAGGCGGUUUGUUAAGUCAGAUGUGAAAUCCCCGGGCUCAACCUGGGAACUGCAUCUGAUACUGGCAAGCUUGAGUCUCGUAGAGGGGGGUAGAAUUCCAGGUGUAGCGGUGAAAUGCGUAGAGAUCUGGAGGAAUAC
rnacentral:rRNA from 1 species